rnacentral:lncRNA from 1 species
CAGAUGAGGUGGCUACAGUAGGUUGAAGUUGGUAACAAUGUUGGACACAACAAGAAACAUCCGAUACAUCCAGAUUCUUCUUAGUGUUUCUUGGCACAAAGAUCUGAUAUGGCAACCAAUUUUGGGUGGCAAAAAGUUAUCUUGGAAAGAAUUAAAUGAAAGAAAAUCAGAGUCUAAACUAAUUCUGCAUGAGGAGCAAACUUAGAAAGAAUUGGAACCAAUUCUUGAAAAACUUGAUUUGGGCAGCCGAAACCUUACUUUGUUUUGCAGAUUUUGUGGACCC